GACGAACGCUGGCGGCGUGCUUAACACAUGCAAGUCGAACGAAGUGGCGAACGGGUGAGUAACGCGUAAUCAACCUGCCCUUCAGAGGGGGACAACAGUUGGAAACGACUGCUAAUACCGCAUACUGAAGGUGGGGAUUGCGUCUGAUUGGCUCGUUGGAGGGGUAACGGCCCACCAAGGCGAUGAUCAGUAGCCGGUCUGGGAGGAUGAACGGCCACAUUGGGACUGAGAAACGGCCCAGACUCCGACGGGAGGCAGCAGUGGGGAAUCUUCCGAAAUGGAUGAAAGUCUGACGGAGCAAAGCUGCGUGAGUGAUGACGGCCUUCGGGUUGUAAAGCUCUGUUAAUCGGGACGCGGUACCGGAAUAGAAAGCCACGGCUAACUACGUGCCAGCAGCCGCGGUAAUAC
rnacentral:rRNA from 1 species